GUGUAACCUUCCGGUCGUAGGACUGCUGUGCAACCGCAGGCUGAUUUAAUGGAGAGACAGUUAUUGUCGAGAAUGAAUUACAACAGUCUGUUUUCGACAACACACCGUGAAUGUAGCGGAUUAAAAUAGCGUGGAGAGGGGGGCAGGAUUGUUCUGAAAUUACAUUUGCAUAACCCGCCCCUGCAUAACGAGCUGUCCGGUUCAGUCUGCGUGGUCCUCAGUGCCGCUACUCGAAACAGACAACCAGGGAGGAAAUAUACCGGCAGGAAGGACUGUCACCGUCUCUAAAACUAUCAACAUGAUCAUUAUAAUCGAAGAUAAGGAGGCCUUCUACAAGGCCCUGGAGGAGGCAGGAGAUAAACUGGUGGUGGUGGACUUCACAGCCACGUGGUGCGGCCCCUGUCAGAGCAUCGCCCCUUUCUUCAAGGGUCUGUCUGAGAAUUAUCAGAGUGUGGUCUUCCUGAAGGUUGACGUGGACCCGCACCGGUGAGCAACAGA